rnacentral:rRNA from 1 species
CUGCAGCGCGAUUCGCCCUUUCGAAGUUUGAUCAUGGCUCAGAACGAACGCUGGCGGCGUGGAUUAGGCAUGCAAGUCGAACGGGAUCUUUAGGAUUCAAUCCUUCGGGAGAGAAUCCUUUAGUGAGAGUGGCGAAAGGGUGAGUAACGCGUGGGCAAUUUGCCUCGAAGUUGGGGAUAGCCUCCUGAAAGGGUGGAUAAUACCGAAUGUGAUCGUGUCACGCAUGUGACACUGUUUGAAGGUGGGGAUUCUUCGGAACCUGCCGCUUUGAGAUGAGCCCGCGUCCCAUCAGCUUGUUGGUAAGGUAAUGGCUUACCAAGGCAAAGACGGGUAGCUGGUCUGAGAGGAUGGUCAGCCACACUGGGACUGAGACACUGCCCAGACUCCUACGGGAGGCUGCAGUCGAGAAUCAUUCGCAAUGCACGAAAGUGCGACGAUGCGACGCCGCGUGUAGGAUGACGGCCUUCGGGUUGUAAACUACUGUCAUGAGGGAAAAACAGCUUGGGGGUUAACAACCUUUAGGCCUGAUGGUACCUCAAGAGGAAGCCACGGCUAACUCUGUGCCAGCAGCCGCGGUAAUACAGAGGUGGCAAGCGUUGUUCGGAUUUACUGGGCGUAAAGGGUGCGUAGGCGGCUUCGUAUGUCGGGUGUGAAAGCCCACGGCUCAACCGUGGAAUGUCAUCCGAAACUGCGGAGCUAGAGUACUGGAGAGGAGAGCGGAAUUCUCGGUGUAGCGGUGAAAUGCGUAGAUAUCGAGAGGAACAUCGGUGGCGAAGGGGCUCUCUGGACAGAUACUGACGCUGAGGCACGAAAGCUAGGGUAGNCGAACAGGAUUAGAUACCCUGGUAGUCCUAGCCGUAAACGGUGUGCACUUGGUGUGGGGGGCUUUAUCCCCUUCCGCGCCGGAGCUAACGCGUUAAGUGCACCGCCUGGGGAGUACGGUCGCAAGACUAAAACUCAAAGGAAUUGACGGGGGCCCGCACAAGCGGUGGAGCAUGUGGCUUAAUUCGAUGCAACGCGAAGAACCUUACCAGGGCUUGACAUGCCCGUCGUACUCUACAGAAACGUAGAGGUCAGCUUGGCUGGACGGUGCACAGGUGCUGCAUGGCUGUCGUCAGCUCGUGCCGUGAGGUGUUGGGUUAAGUCCCGCAACGAGCGCAACCCUUGUGGUUAGUUGCCACCUUCAAGGAAACGCGAAGAGCACUCUAACCAGACUGCCGGUGAUAAGCCGGAGGAAGGUGGGGAUGACGUCAAGUCAGUAUGGCCCUUAUGCCCUGGGCUGCACACGUGCUACAAUGGACGGUCCAAAGGGACGCAAGACCGCGAGGUGGAGCAAAUCCUCAAAGCCGUCCUCAGUUCGGAUUGGAGUCUGCAACUCGACUCCAUGAAGUUGGAAUCGCUAGUAAAGGCGUAUCAGCUACGACGCCUUGAAUACGUUCCCGGGCCUUGUACACACCGCCCGUCACAUCACGAAAGUUGACUGCACCCGAAGUCGCUGAUCCAACCCGCAAGGGAGGAAGGUGCCGAAGGUGUGGUUGGUAAUUGGGAUGAAGUCGUAACAAGGUAGCCGUAAAGGGCGAAUCGUAAGCCC